CCUACGGGAGGCAGCAGUGAGGAAUAUUGGACAAUGGGCGGGAGCCUGAUCCAGCCAUGCCGCGUGCAGGAAGACUGCCCUAUGGGUUGUAAACUGCUUUUAUACAGGAAGAAUAAGCCUUACGUGUAAGGUGAUGACGGUACUGUAAGAAUAAGGACCGGCUAACUCCGUGCCAGCAGCCGCGGUAAUACGGAGGGUCCAAGCGUUAUCCGGAAUCAUUGGGUUUAAAGGGUCCGUAGGCGGGCUAUUAAGUCAGAGGUGAAAGUUUGCAGCUCAACUGUAAAAUUGCCUUUGAUACUGAUAGUCUUGAAUUGUAGUGAAGUGGUUAGAAUAUGUGGUGUAGCGGUGAAAUGCAUAGAUAUCACAUAGAAUACCGAUUGCGAAGGCAGAUCACUAACUAUAUAUUGACGCUGAGGGACGAAAGCGUGGGGAGCGAACGGGAUUAGAUACCCCGGUAGUCCACGCCGUAAACGAUGGAUACUAGCUGUUGGAUUUUUUCAGUGGCUAAGCGAAAGUGAUAAGUAUCCCACCUGGGGAGUACGUUCGCAAGAAUGAAACUCAAAGGAAUUGACGGA
rnacentral:rRNA from 1 species